rnacentral:rRNA from 1 species
UACGGGGGGGGCAAGCGUUGUUCGGAAUUACUGGGCGUAAAGGGCUCGUAGGCGGCCAACUAAGUCAGACGUGAAAUCCCUCGGCUUAACCGGGGAACUGCGUCUGAUACUGGAUGGCUUGAGAUUGGGAGAGGGAUGCGGAAUUCCAGGUGUAGCGGUGAAAUGCGUUGAUAUCAUCAGGAAUACCGGAGGCGAAGGCGGCUCACUGGGACCUAACUGACACUGAACCGCGAAAGCAUGGGUAGCGAACGGG